GAGGGGGGCUACCAUGCAAGUCGAGCGGAAACGAGUUAUCUGAACCUUCGGGGAACGAUAACGGCGCUCGAGCGGCGGACGGGUGAGUAAUGCCUAGGAAAUUGCCCUGAUGUGGGGGAUAACCAUUGGAAACGAUGGCUAAUACCGCAUAAUACCUACGGGUCAAAGAGGGGGACCUUCGGGCCUCUCGCGUCAGGAUAUGCCUAGGUGGGAUUAGCUAGUUGGUGAGGUAAUGGCUCACCAAGGCGACGAUCCCUAGCUGGUCUGAGAGGAUGAUCAGCCACACUGGAACUGAGACACGGUCCAGACUCCUACGGGAGGCAGCAGUGGGGAAUAUUGCACAAUGGGCGCAAGCCUGAUGCAGCCAUGCCGCGUGUGUGAAGAAGGCCUUCGGGUUGUAAAGCACUUUCAGUCGUGAGGAAGGUAGUGUAGUUAAUAGCUGCAUUAUUUGACGUUAGCGACAGAAGAAGCACCGGCUAACUCCGUGCCAGCAGCCGCGGUAAUACGGAGGGUGCGAGCGUUAAUCGGAAUUACUGGGCGUAAAGCGCAUGCAGGUGGUUUGUUAAGUCAGAUGUGAAAGCCCGGGGCUCAACCUCGGAAUAGCAUUUGAAAACUGGCAGACUAGAGUACUGUAGAGGGGGGUAGAAUUUCAAGGUGUAGCGGUGAAAUGCGUAGAGAUCUGAAGGAAUACCGGUGGCCGAAGGCGGCCCCCUUGGACAGAUACUGACACUCAGAUGCGAAAGCGUGGGGAGCAAACCAGGAUUAGAUACCCCUGGGUAU
rnacentral:rRNA from 1 species